AAAAAAAAAAAAAAUCAAAUUCACUUGCAUCCACAAACUAAUACCCAAAAAUUUACAGAAAACACAAAAAUCGAUAAGAAAACUCAGAACAAUCGAAAACAACGCCGAUCUACAAAAAUUCAAGUUCCAACGUCGAAGUCAACAGAUACAAAAAUUCCAAAACCCGAUAAAGUAACAAAUUCAUACAAUAACAAACAAUUAUUCAAAUCUGAAUCCAAAAUCAUGAAAACAAAAUCAACGAAACCGAUUAUUCACCUAUUUCUCUCGAUUUUUGUUAUUAUAGGUUUUUUCUCAUCAAUUAGAAUUUCAAUUUCAAUUUCAGGAUGAGGUUUAUGAAUAGGAAUAAGAAACGAGAAACCCUAGGUGGAUGAGGCGGCGGAUAAAAGGUUCGAGAAAGACGGCGCCUGAGAGAGAAGGGAUUAGGACGNNNNN
rnacentral:lncRNA from 1 species